rnacentral:misc_RNA from 1 species
AAGUCGUAACAAGGUUUCCGUAGGUGAACCUGCGGAAGGAUCAUUACCGAGUUAGGGUCCUCUGGGCCCGAUCUCCCAACCCUUUGUUUAUUAUACCUUUUGUUGCUUCGGCGGGCCCGUUGUCUCACGACGACCGCCGGAGGACCGCUUAACGGCGUCCUCUGGUCCGCGCCCGCCGAUGGCCCCAAAAUCUCAAAAUUCUUGUAUGAAUCGUGUCUUUACCUAAGUCUUGAUUUAAUCAAAAACAAAACUUUCAACAACGGAUCUCUUGGCUCUC